rnacentral:rRNA from 1 species
CAGUCGCCGCGGUAAUACGUAGGUGGCAAGCGUUGUCCGGAAUUAUUGGGCGUAAAGGGCUCGCAGGCGGUUUCUUAAGUCUGUCUUAAAAGUUCGGGGCUUAACCCCGUGAUGGUAUGGAAACUGCUGAUCUAGAGUAUCGGAGAGGAAAGUGGAAUUCCUAGUGUAGCGGUGAAAUGCGUAGAUAUUAGGAAGAACACCAGUGGCGAAGGCGACUUUCUGGACGAAAACUGACGCUGAGGCGCGAAAGCCAGGGGAGCGAACGGGAUUAGAUACCCCCGUAGUCCCUGUCUCUUAUACA